AACGCGAAGAACCUUACCUGGGCUCGAAAUGCUAUGGACAGUCCGUGAAAGCGGAUCUUCCCCUUAAAAGGACCGUAGUAUAGGUGCUGCAUGGCUGUCGUCAGCUCGUGUCGUGAGAUGUUGGGUUAAGUCCCGCAACGAGCGCAACCCUUACCACUAGUUGCCAACAGAAGAUGGGAACUCUAGCGGAACUGCCGGUGAUAAACCGGAGGAAGGUGGGGAUGACGUCAAGUCAUCAUGGCCUCUAUGUCCAGGGCUACACACGUGCUACAAUGGCCGGUACAAACCGUCGCAAACUCGCGAGAGGGAGCCAAUCGGAAAAAACCGGUCUCAGUUCGGAUUGGAGUCUGCAACUCGACUCCAUGAAGUUGGAAUCGCUAGUAAUCGCAGAUCAGCACGCUGCGGUGAAUACGUUCCCGGGCCUUGUACACACCGGAGUGC
rnacentral:rRNA from 1 species